rnacentral:rRNA from 1 species
GAGUGGCGCACGGGUGCGUAACGCGUAUGCAACUUGCCUUCUACAGGGGGAUAGCCCAUGGAAACGUGGAUUAAAACCGCAUAAUACUAAUGAAUCGCAUGGUUUAUUAGUUAAAGCUUCGGUGGUAGAAGAUGGGCAUGCGUAGGAUUAGCUAGUUGGUAGUGUAAUGGACUACCAAGGCAACGAUCCUUAGGGGUUCUGAGAGGAUGAUCCCCCACACUGGUACUGAGAUACGGACCAGACUCCUACGGGAGGCAGCAGUGAGGAAUAUUGGGCAAUGGAGGCAACUCUGACCCAGCCAUGCCGCGUGCAGGAAGAAGGUCCUAUGGAUUGUAAACUGCUUUUAUUUGGGAAUAAACCUAGGUACGUGUACCUAGCUGAAUGUACCAAACGAAUAAGCACCGGCUAACUCCGUGCCAGCAGCCGCGGUAAUACGGAGGGUGCGAGCGUUAAUCGGAUUUACUGGGCGUAAAGCGUGCGUAGGCGGCAUGUUAAGUCGGAUGUGAAAUCCCAGGGCUUAACCUUGGAACUGCAUCCGAAACUGGCAAGCUAGAGAUCGGUAGAGGUUGGUGGAAUUCCCGGUGUAGCGGUGAAAUGCGUAGAUAUCGGGAGGAACAUCGAUGGCGAAGGCAGCCAACUGGGCCUGAUCUGACGCUGAGGUACGAAAGCGUGGGGAGCAAACAGGAUUAGAUACCCUGGUAGUCCACACCGUAAACGCUGUCUACUAGCUGUUUGGACUUUCAUUAGACUGAGUAGCGAAGCUAACGCGCUAAGUAGACCGCCUGGGGAGUACGGCCGCA